CCUACGGGCGGCUGCAGUGGGGAAUAUUGCACAAUGGGCGCAAGCCUGAUGCAGCCAUGCCGCGUGUGUGAAGAAGGUCUUCGGGUUGUAAAGCACUUUCAGCGGGGAGGAAGGCGGUGAGGUUAAUAACCUCAUCGAUUGACAUUACCCGCAGAAGAAGCACCGGCUAACUCCGUGCCAGCAGCCGCGGUAAUACGGAGGGUGCAAGCGUUAAUCGGAAUUACUGGGCGUAAAGCGCACGCAGGCGGUCUGUCAAGUCGGAUGUGAAAUCCCCGGGCUCAACCUGGGAACUGCAUUCGAAACUGGCAGGCUAGAGUCUUGUAGAGGGGGGUAGAAUUCCAGGUGUAGCGGUGAAAUGCGUAGAGAUCUGGAGGAAUACCGGUGGCGAAGGCGGCCCCCUGGACAAAGACUGACGCUCAGGUGCGAAAGCGUGGGGAGCAAACAGGAUUAGAUACCCGGGUAGUC
rnacentral:rRNA from 1 species